rnacentral:lncRNA from 1 species
AACGAAGCCCUAAACUGCCAUGUGCAAACUCUCGAUAUCAUUUUACACCACUCACGUCACCCACCAAAUCAGAGAGAGAGAGAAAGCCGCCGGCAAAGGAGGAAGCUGACCUCCGGUGACCGGCCUUGGGUCCAUGAAACUUCGGCGAGUCAGAUCUGUCGUGCAUAUCCCGUUUUGGUGUAACUCCUACCUAUUGCUUCACUGCUCCGGCAACUGAUGAAGGAUUACGGUGGUUUUGGUUUUGAGCUGGUGGUUGAUGAUGAUGGGUUUUUGUUGCUCGCCGAGUGAAACGGGUAGAGGUGAUUCCAACAAGUGGGAUUGUCACAAUUGAUGGGUUUUUGCAGCUGAAAGCAAUUGGGGGUAGUAAUCACCGGUAGCUGAGACGACUGCCGGCGGCAGAAACGACUCCGACAGUCGGACACUGGUCAAGAGAGGAGAGAACCCUCUCGAUUUCAACUUCAACUUCCAAGUUUGGGAUCUCUAAUCUUUUCUCAUCAAAAACUUCCGGUGAGUGAAGAACCAUUGUUGCUGCAACUCUGCAAGGGACACUUUGGGGACACUUUGGGUCAGGUAGUCAUCUUUGGUAGUUGGAGCUUUGGUUCUUAAAGUGUAAGGCUUGAUUCACAUAGGAGAGACACUCUCAGGUAAUCCUAAUGAACCACCUUCAACCAAAAGGACUCUGAUAUUGAUGGAUUUAAAAAUUGUUUUCCACACUUAACCUAACAAUUCAAUAUCCAAAUUUUUGUAAUGAGAAAUUUUUAAUUCCCCUCACCUGUAUAGUUAUUUUGGUUAAAUUAUAUUUAUCAUAUGUAUUAUAUGCAAUUGUACAUCAAAUACAUAAUUCCAUUCUUAUUUAUGUUGAUGCGGAGGCUUAACGAUUUACGCCAUCCCGCAGGUCGGUAUUAAUUCGAGUUCAUCUACGUUUCACGUCAUGUGAGUCACUUGAUCGUUUUUCCGGUUUUGAUCAUCGUUGGGUUUCUAUUUAGCAUGUUUUUUCGCCCCCACCUCUAAUUGCACAGUUUUACGCCCCCCCCCCCCGCCCCGCAACGCGGGGGGCUCAAUUCUAGUUCAUAAACAUUACCCGUAGCUGAAUUCCAGAUAAAAACGCCAAUUUUCCACUUCACGAGGGUCAACCUUAUUUAUUUGCAUUCAUACCAUAGAGAGUUGCCAUAAAUGAAAAAUAUGAAAUGAAAAAAAAAAAAAAAAAAAAAACCGUCAUGGGCAUGCCUUAUUUCAUGGCUCAAGAGUUUACCAACAUAUUGUAGAAAAAAGUACAUCACAAGAUAGUUAUGUCCCAAGACCUGACCAGAUAGUGUGGUAACUGUGCAUUGCAGUAAAACAGCCAAUUAGAGACCCAAAAAGAUAUAAACUUUAAUGGAUAUUCUGAAUUACAAGAUAAACUACUAGGGAGGUUAAAUUUUCUCAUUUUGCAAAGUGAUAACACAAGGUUAACAUGAAAUUCGCUCCACCAAACGCAAGCAUCUGAUCUAUUAUCGAUUGGAGCUCAUAUCCAAUGAUGAUUCGAUAUCAAUUCACAUAAUCAGUUUCAAGCGCACAACUAAAUCUCCCCUAAUGCUAGCCUUUUGCUUUGAUAUUGGUAGAAGUACUCGUUAAAGAUAUCGCAAAUCCAACAUUUUUGGGUGUACUUCCCACACUCAGCAUUGUUACACUUUCUUAUUGAUUUACUGUUAAAAAUAUUCGUAUUUAUCCGGUAUAAACGUGCCUUUUUAUAUUUCCUUUAUUUAUUUUUAUUUAUUUCCUUUUAUUUAUUUUUAUUUAUUUUUAACCUUUUUAUUUAUCUUUGGUUGUGAGGUUUGGUCUAUCAAGUUUGGGCUG